rnacentral:rRNA from 1 species
AAUGAACGCUGGCGGCGUGGAUUAGGCAUGCAAGUCGAACGCGAAAGUUCCCUUCGGGGAGCGAGUAGAGUGGCGAAAGGGUGAGUAAUGCUUGGAUGACCUGCCCUCGAGACGGGGACAACAGUUCGAAAGGACUGCUAAUACCCGAUAGUCCGGUUUAGAUGCGUCUAGAUCGGGUAAAUGGUGCUUCCGCUCGAGGAGGGGUUCAAGUCCUAUCAGCUUGUUGGUGAGGUAACGGCUCACCAAGGCGAUGACGGGUAGCCGGACUGAGAGGUUGGCCGGCCACAUGGGAACUGAGACACUGUCCUGACUCCUACGGGAGGCUGCAGUCGAGAAUCUUC